rnacentral:rRNA from 1 species
GACGAACGCUGGCGGCGUGCUUAACACAUGCAAGUCGAACGGUGAACCUCUUCGGAGGGGAUCAGUGGCGAACGGGUGAGUAACACGUGGGCAACCUGCCCCCGGCUCUGGGAUAACUCCAAGAAAUUGGGGCUAAUACCGGAUGUUCACCGCUUCCCGCAUGGGUGGUGGUGGAAAGGGUUUCCGGCUGGGGAUGGGCCCGCGGCCUAUCAGCUUGUUGGUGGGGUAGUGGCCCACCAAGGCGACGACGGGUAGCCGGCCUGAGAGGGUGACCGGCCACACUGGGACUGAGACACGGCCCAGACUCCUACGGGAGGCAGCAGUGGGGAAUAUUGCGCAAUGGGCGGAAGCCUGACGCAGCGACGCCGCGUGGGGGAUUACGGCCUUCGGGUUGUAAACCUCUUUCAGCAGGGACGAAGCGCAAGUGACGGUACCUGCAGAAGAAGCACCGGCCAACUACGUG